rnacentral:rRNA from 1 species
ACGCACGCUGGCGGCGUGCUUAACACAUGCCAGUCGAACGGAGAGGCCCUGCUUGCAGGGUACUCGAGUGGCGAACGGGUGAGUAACACGUGGGUGAUCUGCCCUGCACUUCGGGAUAAGCCUGGGAAACUGGGUCUAAUACCGGAUAGGAGCCAUUUUUAGUGUGAUGGUUGGAAAGUUUUUUCGGUGUAGGAUGAGCUCGCGGCCUAUCAGCUUGUUGGUGGGGUAAUGGCCUACCAAGGCGGCGACGGGUAGCCGGCCUGAGAGGGUGGACGGCCACAUUGGGACUGAGAUACGGCCCAGACUCCUACGGGAGGCAGCAGUGGGGAAUAUUGCACAAUGGGCGCAAGCCUGAUGCAGCGACGCCGCGUGGGGGAUGACGGCCUUCGGGUUGUAAACUCCUUUCGCUAGGGACGAAGCUUUUUGUGACGGUACCUAGAUAAGAAGCACCGGCUAACUACGUG